rnacentral:rRNA from 1 species
UGCGUAGACGGUUUCGUAAGUCGGAUGUGAAAUCCCCGGGCUCAACCUGGGAAUUGCAUUCGAGACUGCGAGGCUAGGGUGCGGAAGAGGGAAGCGGAAUUUCCGGUGUAGCGGUGAAAUGCGUAGAUAUCGGAAGGAACAUCAGUGGCGAAAGCGGCUUCCUGGUCCAGCACCGACGUUCAGGCACGAAAGCGUGGGGAGCAAACAGGAUUAGAUACCCUGGUAGUCCACGCCAUAAACGAUGAGAACUAGACGUUGAGAGGGUAAGCCUCCCAGUGUCGCAGCUAACGCGCUAAGUUCUCCGCCUGGGGAGUACGGCCGCAAGGUUGAA